rnacentral:lncRNA from 1 species
UUAAUAUGAUUAACUCAAAAUCGAAAAUAAAAAAAUUAUUAGUUAUUCGGAGGUCGAGAACCCUCGGAGAUCCCCUGUUAUUAUUCAGAGAGGGAAUAAUGAUUCUCUCAAGUAAUUUUGACGGGAAUAGAGAGGGGACGGAGACAUAUAUAAAAUAUCGAAAAAGAGACAAAGACAUACAUAAAAUAUCAGAGAUGAUUACAGAAAGAUUUAUCUCCUCUCCUCCCCUCCCCUCUCUAUUGCCAUCCCUCCCCACCACUUGACCAAAUGCGAAAUGGACUCAGCACCUUUCUAGAAAAUUCAUGGAUGCUAGCCACUGGCCAGUCAACAAUAUAAAUGACGCCCGAAAUCGACAAAUUUAAUGCGACAACCCUUUAAAUCAUAUUCAUUGAAACGCGGAGCAUAUGUUUCAAUGGAGUCGGUAUUCUUGUACCUGCCCAUUAAAAAUAUUAUUUCUUUCACUGUUAUAUAUUUUUAUUA